rnacentral:rRNA from 1 species
CUGACUGCUAUCGGAUUGAUACUAAGCCAUGCGAGUCUUGCAGUAAUGCAAGGCAUACGGCUCAGUAACACGUAGUCAACCUACCCUAUGGACGAGAAUAAUCUCGGGAAACUGAGCAUAAUUCUUGAUAGAUCAUAAUGCCUGGAAUGGUUUAUGGUUAAAAUGAUUCGUCGCCAUAGGAUGGGACUGCGGCCUAUCAGCUUGUUGGUGAGGUAAUGGCCCACCAAGGCGAUUACAGGUACGGGCUCUGAGAGGAGAAGCCCGGAGAUGGGUACUGAGACACGGACCCAGGCCCUAUGGGGCGCAGCAGGCGAGAAAACUUUGCAAUGUGCGAAAGCACGACAAGGUUAAUCCGAGUGAUUUCUGCUAAAGAAAUCUUUUGCCAGUCAUAAAACCACUGGUGAAUAAGGGGUGGGCAAGUUCUGGUGUCAGCCGCCGCGGUAAAACCAGCACCUCAAGUGGUCAGGAUGAUUAUUGGGCCUAAAGCAUCCGUAGCCGGCUUUGUAAGUUUUCGGUUAAAUCCAUGUGCUCAACGCAUGGGCUGCCGAAAAUACUGCAUGGCUAGGGAGUGGGAGAGGUAGACGGUACUCAGUAGGAAGGGGUAAAAUCCUUUGAUCUAUUGAUGACCACCUGUGGCGAAGGCGGUCUACCAGAACACGUUCGACGGUGAGGGAUGAAAGCUGGGGGAGCAAACCGGAUUAGAUACCCGGGUAGUCCCAGCUGUAAACGAUGCAGACUCGAUGAUGCAUUGGCAUAAUAGCCAGCGCAGUGUCGCAGGGAAGCCGUUAAGUCUGCCGCCUGGGAAGUACGUACGCAAGUAUGAAACUUAAAGGAAUUGGCGGGGAGCACCACAAGGGUGAAGCCUGCGGU